CGCUACUUGCACGCUAUGACGUCAACCAUCGCGCGAACCAUUCCCGUUUGACGUCGCCAUUGCUGAAUUGGAUCAAGAGAAUACUGGCUACUGGAAGAAGUCACUACGCAACAGAUUCAGGAAUUGCAGGAAGUGUCAUGAACGUGAUAAUCCAUUAGGACAAAUGGAAGCAAAAAAAGGGGACUACACCCAAACCAGACAAAGCUGCAGGCAAACACAUGUAUGGCAUAAAGAAAGUACCUUCCUGCAUCCCCAGAAGGUGAGGAUGAAGAAACGAUCAAUGCUCACAUCAAGAUGCUUCAGAAUGAAUCCAGAAAAACAAGACAGGACAGCUUGAUGAUAGACAAUCUACUAACUUAUGCCCAUAGGCGCAAGGGUAUCAUCAACAGCAACUGGACUGAAUCCUACUUGAAGGAUAUGUACCCUUACCUUUUCCAUGAAGAUGAGAGAAACAUAAGACUGCCCUGUUUAAAUUCCCUGUUUAUUCUUUUCAUUUGAUGUUGAAAGAGUUUGAGAGACUGUCAGAGGACCCAAUUAAGCAGAAGUUGGAAGCAGGACAUUUGAAUAUGCUGAUCCAUUACUAGAGAUAUGUAAGACUCCCAAGCAAGGUUUGGAGCUCAAAAACCUGAUCUUGGCUGCAGCAGCAGAAAAUGAAGACACCAGGAAAAUGAUCAAAUCAUGUGGAGCACUUCUGUUGAUUCCUACUAUUUUUGGAGAGAAGGCAUUGCUUUGUCAGCAUAGCCAGGAUAAAAAACGGACCAAUCGCCAAAAUCAUCUACAAAAGUAAGCCCGACAGUGCAGGUCUGACUCUGAGCAGUGAUCAUGAAAAAUUCACGGAAAUUCUGCAAUCAUCCUAUAUUACAGCAGAGAAUGAAGUCAUCUGCGAGAAAACCACCUACCUCAUGUCAGCAGUCUCUCUGCUUAUGUCGGCCCAUUAUGUAUUCAACUGAUCAUACACCCCCAAGAUGGGUAACACCCUCACAUUCAUUCAGAAGAUUCUGAUGAACAUAGAUUCCACAUCUCAACCCUCAUCCAAGGUCGUAAGAAGCCUGUAUGACUUAAAUGCUGUCCGAAAUGCUGAUGCCAGUAGUUCUUCAGUUUAAGAGAAAUUAAUUACUUGGGUGAUGCUACUGCAACACAGCUGAUCACACUUUCUCUACGUGCAAUCACCUUAGGUGUUGUAUCUGUCUUUUAUGUGCAAAAUAGAUUGAAAUAGAUACGACAGGUUGACCGUGAAUUUAGACAUCAAGUAUGUGCAUUAUUUCGCUUUGCUUCAGUACAAUUUCAGUGGCCCUUGAAUUGGAAAUCUUUUCAUAUCCCAAGAAUUACGUAUAAAUGCUUAAUGAAAUUUUUGUCACAGAUAAAAUAGGAUUUUGCACACACAAAAAAGAAAAGAUAUUUGGACCCAAAAUUUUUACAGAUCAGAUGGUCAACAAUUUUUUUUUUUUUUUUUUUUUGGGGGGGGGAAUUGAAGACUAAGCUAUUAAUAUUCUACUUUUUGAUUUUUGUACACAUUUUGUUACUGUACAUGUAAAUAAGUUUAACACCACAAAUUUGAAGAAUUACAACAUUUUAAAGGUUCUCUAUGGAAUUUUAGUUAGUUUGUAGGUUUCAAGCAACUUAGUAUUUAAUUCCAAGAAUUAUACAAAGGCACUUUUCAAGAUUAUGGCUUCCAACAUCAGUACAUGAUGGAAACAAUUCUCAAUGUUUACAUUUAUUGAGAUGGUAAGCACAUGCAACUGAUUUGAAACUAAUUUUAUAAAUUUGACAAAGCACUGUCAUUAAUUUUAAGCCAAUCUGCACACUUCCAAGCAUGUCAAAGGUAUUGCUUAAUAGCCCAAUCACCACAAUUAUCAUUGCCUUUAAAAAAAAAUUGCACAAAAAUAUUUAAAUAGAAAAGGUCAGUAUCUGCUUGAAGAUACAGCUGCUAUAGGAGGCAGAUUUUGCGGAAAAUACCAGGGCUUCACAGUGAGAGAAAUGGUAUUAAGAAUGGGGGAUUCUGCGAAGUGCUUUAAAAAUU